GCCCUCGUGGCUCAAUUGGUAGAGCGCACGACUUUUAAUCGUGUGGUUGUGGGUUCGAGCCCCAUCGGGGGUG
rnacentral:tRNA from 1 species